UGCAGCCGCGGUAAUUCCAGCUCCAAUAGCGUAUAUUAAAGUUGUUGCAGUUAAAAAGCUCGUAGUUGAAUUUCGGGGUCAGCAAGUUGGUCGUGCCACUGGUAUGCACUGGCUUUGCUGAUUCCUCCUUCUUGAAGAACUGUAAUGCUAUUAAUUUAGUGUUGCAGGGAAACAGGACUGUUACUUUGAAAAAUUAGAGUGUUUAAAGCAGGCUAACGCUUGAAUACAUUAGCAUGGAAUAAUGAAAUAGGACGUUUGAUCCUAUUUUGUUGGUUUCUAGGAUUGACGUAAUGAUUAAUAGGGAUAGUUGGGGCAUUAGUAUUCAAUUGUCAGAGGUGAAAUUCUUGGAUUUAUUGAAGACUAACUACUGCGAAAGCAUUUGCCAAGGAUGUUUUCAUUAAUCAAGAACGAAAGUUAGGGGAUCGAAGACGAUCAGAUACCAUCGUAGUCUUAACCAUAAACUAUGCCGACUAGGGAUC
rnacentral:rRNA from 1 species